AUUUAGGUAGUUUAAUGAAGAAUAAUAAUUUGUGGUGUUAUUGGUGCUAAUUUUGUGCUCUAAAUU
rnacentral:tRNA from 1 species